rnacentral:rRNA from 1 species
UCNAAACCUAGUGGCAUGCCUAACACAUGCAAGUCGAACGGUAACGCGGAGAGCUUGCUCUCUGGCGACGAGUGGCGGACGGGUGAGUAAUACUUAGGAAUCUGCCCAGUAGUGGGGGACAACAUUCGGAAACGGAUGCUAAUACCGCAUGCGCCCUACGGGGGAAAGCGGGGGAUCUUCGGACCUCGCGCUAUUGGAUGAGCCUAAGUCGGAUUAGCUUGUAGGUAGGGUAACGGCCUACCUAGGCGACGAUCCGUAGCUGGUCUGAGAGGACGAUCAGCCACACUGGGACUGAGACACGGCCCAGACUCCUACGGGAGGCAGCAGUGGGGAAUAUUGGACAAUGGGCGCAAGCCUGAUCCAGCAAUGCCGCGUGUGUGAAGAAGGCCUGCGGGUUGUAAAGCACUUUCAGUAGAGAAGAAAAGCUUACGGUUAAUACCUGUGAGUCUUGACGUAACCUACAGAAGAAGCACCGGCUAACUUCGUGCCAGCAGGCCGGGNAAUCCGAAGGGUGCAAGCGUUAAUCGAAUUANUGGGCGUAAAGCCCCGUAGGCG